rnacentral:rRNA from 1 species
CCUACGGGAGGCAGCAGUGGGGAAUAUUGCACAAUGGGCGACAGCCUGAUGCAGCGAAGUCGCGUGAGCGAAGAAGUAUUUCGGUAUGUAAAGCUUCAUCAGCAGGGAAGUAAAUGACGGUACCUGACUAAGAAGCUCCGUCUAAAUACGUGCCAGCAGCCGCGGUACUACGUAUGGAGCAAGCGUUAUCCGGAGUUACUGGGUGUAAAGGGAGCUUAGAGGGAUGUGCAAGUCUGAUGUGAAAGUCGGGGGCUCAACCCGUGGACUGCAUUGGAAACUGUAAAUCUUGAGUGCCGGAGAGGUAAGCGGAAUUCGUGGUGUAGCGGUGAAAUGCGUAGAUAUUAGGAGGAACACCGGUGGCGAAGGCGGCUUACUGGACGGUAACUGACGUUGAGGCUCGAAAGCGUGGGGAGCAAACAGGAUUAGAUACCCGAGUAGUC